rnacentral:rRNA from 1 species
UACGUAGGGUGCAAGCGUUGUCCGGAAUUAUUGGGCGUAAAGAGCUCGUAGGCGGUCUGUCGCGUCUGCUGUGAAAACUCAGGGCUUAACCCUGAGCUUGCAGUGGGUACGGGCAGACUAGAGUGCGGUAGGGGAGACUGGAAUUCCUGGUGUAGCGGUGGAAUGCGCAGAUAUCAGGAAGAACACCGGUGGCGAAGGCGGCUCUCUGGGCCUUACCUGACGCUGAGGAGCGAAAGCGUGGGUAGCGAACAGG